AUACAUAUAUGUGAGUGAAACUAUUUACAUGGUGUAUGUGUAAGAAACAUUAAAACAGAAACAUUGUGGGUCUGUAUACAAGGGCAGUUAUAUAAUGUAAUAGAUAAAUAAGGGUGGAAGGGCUAUGGUCAUUUAGGGUGGAGAUGGUAGUUCUACUGGGACCAAAAUAUUGCACAUGAGCCAAAAGAAUUGCACAGAACAUGAAAAGACUGAGAUGUUGCACAUAGAUGAUCAACAGCAGUGUCAGAGUGGAUGUGUUGGGGAAGUCUUUACACACUCUUAGUUUGCAUUAAGAGUUCUGACAGCCCACGGGAAGAAGCUGUUCUUUAAUCUGUUGGUUUUGCACCUGAUGCAUCUGAACCUUUUUCCAGGGGCAGGAUGUUGAAGAGGUGGUGGUUAGGAUGGAGGUGGUCCUAUAUAAUUGCUCUGGCUCUGGAGAGACAUCUUGAGCUGGGAAUAAAGUCCAGGGAGGGGAGUGGACAGCCGAUCCCCUAAGUUUGCAAGUUUGACCACAUGUCUUUUAAACAUGCUUUACAAAUAAAGCUAACUUGACUUGGAUCAACUAAAGACCCUUCAUGGAGCUUUUACAACAACCUGACAGAACAGCAGAAGAAUCACAGGGCUCAAAACCCCCUCCACCAUCACUGCUGUGCCCAUUUACAGAGGGAGAACGCAGCCAACGAGGUAGAUCAGACAUCUGAAUGCCUCCUGGGUGAGGUGUUUCAGACCAACCACAUCCAACAAAGACCCUGGAGCACACUCAGGACACACUGGAGAGAUUAAAUCUUUCAGCUGGCUUGGGAAUGCCUUCAGGUGCUCCCAGAAGAGCUAGAUGAAGAAGCUGGAUAGAGGGAGGUCAGGGCAUCUGUGGGAUCUGCUACCUCCAUGACCUGGAUCCAGAUAAGAGCUCAGACACGGCCUACCAGGAGGACUUGCAGCUGACUCAGGAUCCGCUGGAGAGGUUUUCACUCUCGGCUGAGUUGGAAACACAGGGAUCAUAAGGGAAAGGGCACCAGUUGACACAGACUUUGGGACUUUUGGCACGGCU